UGUAGGACCGUCCUCACGUGCGCGCGCCUACCUCCCGAAGUUCCUCUCUCCCUCUCUCGUUGCUCCUUGGCACAGGCGCCGCCGUGAACGCGCAUCACCACAGCAUUGCUCACCCGCUUCUUCCUCCGAUUGGCACCCCACCCGCGCACACGGCUUGACACGUUGAUGUGUUUUUUUUUUUUCGGGGAGAGUUGCCGGAACGACACGUGUGUGCCACCGUCUUUUUGCUCCUUUUGGGGGGGUGUCUCCACAUGACACCCUCCCUCCCCCGCGCCUAUCGGACAUGCGGAUACACGCUGUGGACACAGCUGAGCUGCCACACCGUCAUCAUCUCUUUGUUUUCCUUUUCGGAGCCAAUCACGGGCAAGAGCAGCGUUGCCUCCCCUCACCACCCCAUCCUCCAGCGGCACACGUGAGCGCGUGUAUUUGGGCGGGAGGCCAUCACGAUGGAGAUCGAUUCUCUGAAGAUUCAACUCACGAGCCUGCUCGCCCUGCACCACGACGAUGAUGCCAACGAGGAUGAUAUCGUCUUCGCCACCCUCGACUACAUCCGCGGCGCCCACACGGUAGCUCAAAUGUUGUUGCUAGAGGGGAGGUUCCCUGAGCUGCAGCGGUGCCUGAAUCUCUGCCAAGCAGCCUUUGGAGAGAUCGCCACGGACCCCGCGGCAGCGUCCUCAGAAGAGGCCGCCGCUACCACUGCUGCUGCUGCUCCAUCCACGACUCAGGAUACCUCAGGUCCUCUCAGUGAGCGCGUGAAGGCGGUGGGAUCGGAGCUGAGGCCUUCCUUGUCCCCCUCAUCCGUGGAUGCAGCGUCGGAGAGGCGACGCACCUCGGUGGUGCUGCGCAGCGCCGAGGACCAUCGCGUCUUUUCGGCGUUGGCAAGCCGCACAGCGCAGCUGCAAACGCAGCUGGAGGCUGCUAUGCAGGUCCGGCGGGGCCGCGACGCCAACUACUACCUCCAUAAGCUUGGCCUGGGAGUCAAGCACAACGACGCGGACGAGACGCUGGACAAGCGCGAGGCGGCAACGAGCAUCCGCUUCUUUCAGUGGCAGCUGCAACAGCUGCCCCGCGCCGCGCCGAUGGCGUCGCUGUUACCGCCAGCUCCCAAUCAGGACGCAUGGGGUAGAAGCACGCAGACGUCCGCCGCUCGUCCCCCGCCCCCGCCGGCACGUCUCUCGGCGCCUGUGCAGGGCAAACGCAACAGGUCGGCGUCGCUCUGCCUUGCUUCGCUCAACAUCCCGGCGCCGUGUGGCAGCACUCGCCAACACGCUACAUCCAGCGCGUCGGUGGCGCUUCUCGGUGAUGCGCCUCCGCCCCCGUCACCACCGGAGCGCGGCAUCGCCAUUGGCAGAAAGUCGUACGUUAACCGGUGGAAGGCACCCAAGUACCUGCCGCCCCUCGUCACUGAGGGUCGCACAUUCUGCAUGGAUCGCUAUCAAGCCUACGACGUGGCUGCCGAUGCUCUGCAUAACCGGCUGCAGUCGAACAAUCACGUCGGGACGCUCGCAGACAAGGACGGAGACGUGGAGGACGACGGUGGCAUUCGUGCGGUCCAGCAGCUGUACGGCACUCUGAGCCAGGACAGUAUACCCCUCUACUCACGCGAGGUGCUGAAGGAGCCGCAUCUUUGGAGCUUGUCCGGGUCGCUCUCAAGCGCCUCUUCGAACUGGGUGUCGCCACCCUCGUCGGCGGCGGUGACCCGCCCAAAUCCCACCGCGUCGUGUUACUCGGCCCAGCUGGUGUCGCGUGUCAAGUGCGUCGACGGCGCAGACGAACACGAGGAGGAGGGCGGAUCGCUUGCGUGCGGCGGCGGCGACGUCGGUGGUGACGCUGGCGGCCAAGCCGGUUUCGCUCCCGUCCAAAGCACGCAGGCGAGGUUCCUGCUGCAGACGGCAUCGCCGCUGUUAGAGUCGGCCGCGAACAGCCCCGUCCCCGCCUUGUCCUCCUGUUCCUGUUGGUGUGCCGAUGAUGACGCACGCCAUCCUGCCGUCAAUGCCUUCACCAGCGGCAGCCACACGUCGCAUCCAGCACAGUCGCCGUCAGACGUGGCGGAGGCUUUUACUCCGCGGCGCCGCUUGCUGCCGGUGUCCACCAGCGCGCUUGCCACGGCAUCCUCGGCGACCAACGUGAUAGCCUCCUCAUCACUGCUUCAGUCGCACGUUGGUCGAGGUGCGCCGAGCGACGACGCGCACGUAGCGGCCAGCGCCACCUUCACCUCGGUGCCGACGCCGCGCUCGGCGUCCACGGCAGCGCCCAGCAGGACUCUGGAGCAGCUGCAUCUUCCAUCGAGUGCAACCGCCGUUGCUUCCCUCCCAUCUCUGACAGGGCUGCCGGCGACGACGUCCGCGGCCGCUGCAGCCGCGGCCCGCGCGGUGCAAGACGUUCGGCACACGAUGCAGUUCGCGAUGACGAGUCUGAAGGCGCAGCAUCAGCGUAGUGCCCAGGCGCUGGAGCAGUGCGACGAGCUGGCUCUCUCCCGACUACCCUACAGCGCACGCGAAGCCCUGAUGGCGAGCCGUGCGCGACAAGCAACACAUGCGUACGUGAGCGGCAGCAGCAGCCCCGGCGGUGGUGGAGGCGUGAAUUACGUGCGGAGCGUUUCGCCUAUUUCGGUGGGCACGGCUACUACCCCAAACUGCCCUCUCACCGCGGCGCAGCUCACGGAAGAGCAGGUGUUGCCACCCGCCUUGCCGUCUGUGGAUGCAGCAGCGGUCGCCACUGCGGAGCAACACCAGCUAAAGUAUCGGAGAUUGCCGCCACCGCCACCGCCAUCUCUACUGCUGUCUCUGUCACCGUCGCAGCAGCUCAGCCCAGAUGCGGAGGGGCAGCUUCGCGAGCUCCGUGCGGCGUGCGAGCAGCAUCUGGCGGCUUCGGAAUCCAAUGUGCGAGAGAUGGAGGCGCUGUGGCUGGCACAGCACCGACAGCUGAAGUCGCGCGUCGCGUUGACUUGUCUAGAGGACUUCGCAGAGUGGAGCCGGAGCCCCGGCCGCGAUCUCAUGCACCGCAGCUCGAACGGCCCGCAGCACCGCGGGAGCACCAGCCGACGCUCCGCCGAGCAGUGCAGUUGCGUGGACCCCCCCUGCGGAGGACACGCGCGGGGAGCAGCGCCCGCGCACACGACCACCGUCCCGCCCUCGCCAACACUGCCAGCGUCGCUGAAGAGCGAUUCGCCGGUGGCCUCCACCGUCAGUGCCCUGGCGGCGACGGGGGCAACGGGGGCGGGCACGAGGCCGCCCUCCGGCUUGCCAACUUGCGCCUCCGCAGCGCCGCCGCAGCGCCGCCGUGGCAGCAGAAGCCCCGCUUGCACCCUCCCGUCUGCCACCCGCGGCACCAUCGCGGCCUGCCCCUUCCAUACCGUCGGCGCCGUCUCCAGUGAAGAGACGGGAGUUAGCAAAGACGCCUCCGAGGAUAACGCCGUGUUGCUUGGUGCUGCGAAGACGAUGCGGUCUGCCGCCACGCGCGCGGCGCAGGCGACACAGGAAGGUGGCGACGCAGCGAGGGCAGAGAUUAGCGUCGCCCCUGCCGCCUUCAGUGCUCAGUCGCCUCAGCAGGCAAGGCACAGCGGCGCAGGUGACGCAGCGGGGCUCUACACGUACAGCGCAGCUGUCGAGGCGAGCGGGUCCGAUACCGUGGAGGAGACGCUCGUGGCAUGGCGACGCACGCUGCGGGCGAUGGACAGCCCGUCGACGGCGACGGAGGUGGUGCGUGGCUCAGGCGCGGAAGCAGGCGAGCUGAACGCGGCUUCAGCGUGCUCCUUUCCCUCUCACACCAGCUGCUGCCUGGCGGCCACUGCCGUAGCGCCGCCGCCCAGCAGAGCAACCGAGGGCGUGCCCCGCAUGUGGCCCAGCAUUCGGUGCGCAGCUGCUGUGGUCCGCUGCCGCCGUACGCAGCGCUUCGUGUGCGAGACGCUCCGCCAAGUCGUUCAGCGCGUGCUCCCCGGCGACCUCGUCCGCCCUGCGUGGAAGACGGGCGCCGCUGCUCGCCCGCAGCCGCCGUUCGUGGGCCUUCCGAGUGUGUCCCUGAUCGGCAUGAACGGAGCGGAGGCAAGCGCGAAGGCGUCGGGGUGCGCGGCGCGUCGCACUGUCGGAUCGAUGACGCGGGUGAUGAACCUGAUGUCAGGCUCAAGCAUAGACCCACCGGCUUCCACAGGCUCAGCGCGCGCCCUCAACGCCGCCGCACCGUCGCCGUGGCUGCCGCCAUCCGGCUUCACGUGCGCGGGACCGUCGAAGGAAGCGGUGACAAGCGUGAUCCGACAUGUGAACGCGGCGUACCGCGCGAACGCCAUGCUACUUUCCAUCGAGGAUUGGACAAGCGUGGCGCCGGACCUGCUGGCCCGCUCGCUGCCGCUGAGCGUGCGUGCGCUGCGCAUCCAGAAGUGGUGGCGUCAGCGGCUCGCCGUUCGCCUGUGCCGACAACGUCGCGCAGCGCAGGAGGCGUAUCUAGUCGAGGAGGAGCGCCGCGAUGCCGCUGCACUGCGGCUGCAGCGGCAAAUACGUGUGCACUGGGCCCAAAAGACUGUCGCGCGUCGGGCUGCGGCGGUUGCCGCCCGGAUAGAGCACCGCGUGGCUGCCGAGCAGACCACCGCGAAGCACAGUGGCUCUGUCGACGGCCUCAUAGACGGCAGCGUUGCCUUCGGCGCCUCGAGCUCGCUCACCACGACGCCGUCCUCGAACCGCCAUCUCCGCCGUCUCGUCACACCUCAUGGCCGCGGGUGCAGCAGGGGCUCAUCGUCAUCGCUGCAGGUGCGCUCUGCGCGCUCCGUUCGCACUACGUCGCAGGCUGGGACGGAUUGCUUUCUCGCCACACUCCGCACGUUCAAACUGGCCGCCUUUCCUGCCGCCACCUCUGGUGGGGUGGACAAGGACGCCUCCAUCUUCUUCCGCUCCGCCCGAGCCGCCGUAGCCCCCGACGACGUCGACAGACGCGUCCGCUCACACCGGCCGCGGUCGCCGUCUAAGGCCACGGCAGUGGAGACGGACGCAACGAUGGUGCAGACAACGGCUGCGCCGCUCUCGGUGCACAGUGACACAACCAGUGAGCAGCGGCGUUCAACAACGCGUCCAGCCGCAGUGCCGCAAAUGCAGCCGGAGCUUGUCAUCGCCGCCGCGCAGCGCAUUCAGAGGUGUUACCGACAUCAUCUCGCACGACUUCACACGGCGCGGCUCCGCCGAGAGGUGGAGGUGCUCAGCGCCGUCGUCACGCGGCGGGCACCACUCGCCGCGAUACGCGUCACCCUGACUGCUGCGCCGCUCUCAGAUAUCUUGACUGCUGCCUCGGCGCGAGAGCUGGACCAGGGCUCGGACACGACAGUCAUGCGCAGCCUCCUCGACCGCUGCACUGGGGAUGUGUGCGAGGCGCACUUGCAGCGCGGGCUGGCAGCGCGGCGCCACGGCGAUUACAAAGCCCCGCUUGAGCGCGUGAGUCUUCGCGAACUGCAACGCAUCCGCCAGGAGCGUGAGGACGAGGCUGCCCAGCAGCGCCAGCUACACGAGCUCGAGCAGCGGCGAAAGCUCGAGCAGCGGAAGCGGCGGGAGCGGCAGGUGCUGGAGGCAUCCAAGACGAUCCAGCGAGUUGGUCGCGGCUGUCGGUGGCGGCGCUGGCUGCGUGAGCGGGAGCUGAAGGUGAGGCAGCGCGCCGACCAUCACCAGGUAGCGCUGCUGUCGUGCUCCUCCGUGAAGGGGAUCCACAGUGUGCAGCUCCUCAGCUCCGACGGCCAAGGCACGCAGCCGGUGAUGUCGUCGGAGGAUGAGCGGUAUCUCCAGUUGGCCGGUGGGGAGGCGGUGGCGUCGCGCAUGAUAUUGCGCCUGCGGGCAACGCACCCGCAGUGGUUCGGGAUCGCCACGGACCCCACGAGUGCGCAGUACAUCGUGUCGCACUGCACUCCCGCUCAGCUGGCCACGGUCCCCACAAUAGAAGCCUUUGUGGCGGCCUUCGCCAGCCGCGCCGAGGUCUACAACCGGUACCGUCACACCUGCGCCAAGAGUCUUCAGCUGGCGUGGCGGCUGCACCGGGAAAAGCUGCACGGCCGCCGCAUGGUUUCCGCAAGCGAAUCAUAACCGGCCGGCUCUCCAAGAUGUAUUCAGGCGCGUGUCUGUGGUGCAGCAAAAGGGGGAGGGGAGGGAGGCGGGGGGCGACGGUGCUCGUAGCAGUGGUGGCCGCUGUCUCAUUGCCCAACCCAAACCCCGUCCUGCCCUGCCCUGUCUUGUCCUCCUUAUCGGCGUCAUUCGUGCGGUUUCCUGUCAUUUCUGUUUCGCGUGUACCUUCCUUCUGUCUGAUGUACAGUACCGAUUCGAGCAGGAUGGAGCUGUGACUGGUGCGCUGACGGUCUCACCGUCGUUCUGCACUUGGUAGGUGCGCCGCUGCCGCCGAGGUCUGCGCACUCUUAUCCACCCACCCCACACUUCCGUCUGCCUUCAAAUGCGCUCUAGGCCUCAUCCUCUUCAUGUAGGUGGUUGUGCGCCAGCCCGACGUACACCCAAUGGACGCAUACGUACCUGUGGGCACGGAAACACGGCCUCCCGCUUCUGUCUUCCCACCACCACCAUCACU
rnacentral:misc_RNA from 1 species